rnacentral:rRNA from 1 species
UAGAAUUCCACGUGUAGCGGUGAAAUGCGUAGAGAGGUGGAGGAAUACCGGUGGCGAAAGCGGCCUUCUGGACAGAUACUGACGCUGAGAUGCGAAAGCGUGGGGAGCAAACAGGAUUAGAUACCCUGGUAGUCCACGCUGUAAACGAUGUCUAUUUGGAGUUUGUUGCCUAGAGUGAUGGGCUCCGAAGCUAACGCGAUAAAUCGACCGCCUGGGGAGUACGGCCGCAAGGUUAAAAACUCAAAUGAAUUGACGGGGCCCGCACAAGCGGUGGAGCAUGUGGUUUAAUUCGAUGCAACGCGAAGAACCUUACCCUGGUCUUGACAUCCACAGAAUCUUGCAGAGAUGCGAGGGUGCCUUCGGGAACUGUGAGACAGGUGCUGCAUGGCUGUCGUCAGCUCGUGUUGUGAAAUUUGGGUUAAGUCCCGCAACGAGCGCAACCCUUAUCCUUUGUUGCCAGCGAUUCGGUCGGGAACUCAAAGGAGACUGCCGUUGAUAAAGCGGAGGAAGGUGGGGACGACGUCAAGUCAUCAUGGCCCUUACGACCAGGGCUACACACGUGCUACAAUGGCGUAUACAAAGGGAGGCGACCUCGCGAGAGCAAGCGGACCUCAUAAAGUACGUCUAAGUCCGGAUUGGAGUCUGCAACUCGACUCCAUGAAGUCGGAAUCGCUAGUAAUCGUGAAUCAGAAUGU